rnacentral:miRNA from 1 species
UUUGAAACGUUUUAGCCAAA